UACAGAGGGUGCAAGCGUUAAUCGGAAUUACUGGGCGUAAAGCGUGCGUAGACGGUAGCGUAAGUCGGGUGUGAAAGCCCCGGGCUCAACCUGGGAAUUGCAUUCGAGACUGCUCUGCUAGGGUGCGGAAGAGGGAAGCGGAAUUUCCGGUGUAGCGGUGAAAUGCGUAGAUAUCGGAAGGAACACCAGUGGCGAAGGCGAGUCCCUGGACAACACCUGACACUGAGGCACGAAAGCUAGGGGAGCAAACAGG
rnacentral:rRNA from 1 species